ensembl:lncRNA
ACUGGGACCUAUUGACCGCUAGGGGCGCGCCUGCCUCCUCUGGGCUUUUCUGAUCUGUCUGAAAGUCGCUCAGUCGUGUCGGACUCUUUGCGACCCCGUGGACUAUAUACAGUCCGUGGAAUUCUCCAGGCUAGAAUACUGGAGUGGAUAGCCUUUCCCUUCUCCAGGGGAUCUUCCCAAUCCAGGGAUCGAACCCAGGUGUUCCGGAUCGCAAGCGGAUUCUUAACCAGCUGAGCCACAAGGGACCCAUGGCCAUUAGCAUCAAUUCCACGAACAAUUUUUAAAGCCUGGAUUGAGGACAGUAUCGCUGUAGCGGGCUCUGGUUACUGGAUCUAGUGCCCGAAUCCUCCCUGAAGACUGGCGUGGCCUUGAGUCAUCGUCUGACAAGAUCUGCUAAUGGGGUCAUUGCAGACAGCCACAAACCCCCAACGUCUGAGCGGGCUGGGGCUGCUGCCAAGGGGUUUCGCCUGCCUCCACCUCCCGCCUUCUCCGGUUCCCCAUCCAAGCUGAUGCUUGUAAAGGAAACAUCUUUUCAGGCGAGGGGACUGUGUGUUUGGUUUGUCUUUGUUGCCUGGAAACUGUUGACAUCCCGAGACAUUCUGUUGCCUGCGCUGGCUCAUGAAAAAUUGAUGACUUUUUUUCUCUGUCAACAAACUCGCAGCCUGUUCACCUUGACUGGGAAGGGGCGGGAAGCUUGCUCCCUGCUCCGCUCCGCAGCUGUUUGCUUUCUUUCGAGCUGUUGAGUUUGCUUUCCUUAGAGGUGGGGGUGGGGCCAGAGACAGUGGGGCCAGCUGAGUGUGGCCGUGUGUAGGCGACUGCUGCUAAGGUGGAGAGGGCUGGCCUUGCUUCCCUCGAGUGCUCCUUCAGUUCCACCAAGUGCCUUUCCCAGCUGAUCUGAAGCACCUUUCCCUUCCGAGGCAUCCCCUGGGCAUCCCCUGCCCAGAGGCCUUCCCUGGCCUCGCCAGCCCUGGAUCCUCCUUGCCCUCUGGGGUCAGCCUGCCAGGCACGACUACUGUCCGUUUCCAUUCCUCUCGGUCUGGUUUCUCCUCUUGGCAGCAGAAUAGCCUUGCUGCCCAUCUCCCCAGACCAGCAGCACGUUAGGUUUAGGAGGGAUCUCAGAGAGCAUUUGUGGAAGAGGAAGCUCAGAGUGGCAGGGUGAUGUGACCAUCUAGUUAGCUUUUGGCCUCGUGUACAGCAUUCACUGGUGGUCUCCCCCACCAGGGAACGAACCUGUGCCCCCAGCACUGGAAGUGUUUUUCCUGUGCGUGUGUGCUCAGCCAUGUCUGACUCCUUGUGACCCGAGGAGUCUUAACCACUGGACCACCAUGGAAGUCCCAAAGACUUUGCACAGACUCUGCACAUUUCAUAGUAUAUAAGGCAUCCCACUACUGGAAGGCCCUGCAACAAGGCAGUUACGAACCUUGAACCUGGAGCCAGGCUGUUUGAGUUGGGAUGCUGCUUUCAUGUCUUGCCAGCUGUGUGACUUUGGACAACUUGCUUGACUGCUCUGAGC